rnacentral:rRNA from 1 species
CCUACGGGGGGCAGCAGUGAGGAAUAUUGGUCAAUGGCCGCAGGGCUGAACCAGCCAAGUCGCGUGAGGGAUGACGGUCCUAUGGAUUGUAAACCUUUUUUGUCAGGGAGCAAAGGGCGCCACGUGUGGCGCUUUGCGAGUACCUGACGAAAAAGCAUCGGCUAACUCCGUGCCAGCAGCCGCGGUAAUACGGAGGAUGCGAGAGUUAUCCGGAUUUAUUGGGUUUAAAGGGUGCGCAGGCGGAAUGUCAAGUCAGCGGUAAAAUUUCGGGGCUCAACCCCGUCGUGCCGUUGAAACUGGCGUUCUUGAGUGAGCGAGAAGUAUGCGGAAUGCGGGGUGUAGCGGUGAAAUGCAUAGAUAUCACGCAGAACUCCGAUUGCGAAGGCAGCAUACCGGCGCUCAACUGACGCUCAUGCACGAAAGCGUGGGUAUCGAACAGGAUUAGAUACCCGGGUAGUC